rnacentral:rRNA from 1 species
GGAAUAUUGGACAAUGGGCGCAAGCCUGAUCCAGCAACGCCGCGUGGAGGACGAAGGCCUUCGGGUCGUAAACUCCUGUCAGUAGGGACGAAAAGGUCGAGGUGAACAUCCCCGAUCCAUGACGGUACCUGCAGAGGAAGCCCCGGCCAACUCCGUCCCAGCAGCCGCGGUAAUACGGAGGGGGCUAGCGUUAUUCGGAUUUACUGGGCGUAAAGGGCGCGUAGGCGGCUUGGUAGGUCAAAGGUGAAAGCCCUCGGCUCAACCGAGGAAUUGCCUUUGAAACCACCUCGCUAGAGGCUGGGAGGGGCUAGCGGAAUUCCUGGUGUAGCGGUGAAAUGCGUAGAUAUCAGGAGGAACACCGGUGGCGAAGGCGGCUAGCUGGACCAGUUCUGACGCUGAGGCGCGAAAGCGUGGGGAGCAAAC